rnacentral:lncRNA from 1 species
GCUGGGGGCGGGGCCUGAAGUGACUGUCCCCGUGCGCCUGCCGGCCAGGAGGAGAAGGUAGGGGGCGGGGGCGAGCGGCGGGGGACGGCCAAAUUCCUCCCAGCGCAGGACUGAGGAGCUUGGAUUUGAUCCAUUGGGAGCUAGGGAGCCAUGGGAAGACCGCGAGAGACUGUCCCGAUGGGAUUUGUGUGUUUCGAAGAGCCUUGGGUGGAAACUAGGAAGACUGAUGCUCGUGUCCCAGUGUUUGGAGACAGAGAGCAAGUAGGGGGAGCAGCAGGAAGAGAAAGAGGGAGAAGCCGGCUCCCUGCUGAGCAGAGGCUCUAUCCCAGGACUGCAAGAUCAUGACCCGAGCCAAAGGCAGACGCUCAACCAACUGAGCCACCCAAGAGUCCAUGAAUGUAUUUUUAUUGUGAAAUAAAGUGCAUACACACACAGAGUCUGAUCCAGGAACCCACACAAAACAAAUAUAUUGCCUCUGGAGGUACUGAAGAGGACAUUCCCAACCAGGGGUAAUUUUGUUCUUAGGGGACACCGAACAAUAUCUGGGAGACACUUUUGGAUUGUCAUGGGGGGGGAGGGGGGAAGAGCUGUUAUUGUCAUCUAGUGGGUGGAGGUCAGGGAUGUUGCCAAACAUCCUGUGAUACACAAAGCACCCCCCCCCCCAAGAAUGAUCUGGCCUGAAUGUCAAAAGAGCUGAGUUUGAGAAACCCAGCUCGCAGGUGAACAUCAUGAUAACCCCCACCCUGGUCCACAUGUAGCAUGUCAUCAGCAACCCCAGAAGUCCCUCCAUGCCCCACGUCCCGGUCCCAGUGACUCUUCUCUCCACAAAGUAACCAACUGUUGUGACUUUGAUAAUAAUCCCUGCUUUGUGUUUUUGAAUAGUCUGUCACCCAAGCAGGGUCUGCAAACAUGGUAGUUUUGUCUUGCACAUCCAAAAAGGAAAUGAUAUGUCUUUUAAGUCUCUUUUAAUUCGCAGUGUUCCCCGUCACCCCAUUCCUUCCCUUCCAAUAAAUCAAUCGCUUAACUCAUGCUGUUUGUUCUGGAGCAUUUCCCAGGGUCCGGGUGUUGCUGAUCCCACACUGGCGUCCCUCUGUCCUCCACAUUCCCUGCAAAUUGGC